rnacentral:rRNA from 1 species
AUACGGAGGGUGCGAGCGUUAAUCGGAAUGACUGGGCGUAAAGGGCGCGUAGGUUGGUUAAUAAGUUAGAUGUGAAAGGCCAGGGCUCAACCUUGGAAUUGCAUUUAGAACUGUUAAUCUAGAGUAUAGUAGAGGGUAGUAGAAUUCCUGGUGUAGCGGUGAAAUGCGUAGAUAUCAGGAGGAAUACCGAUGGCGAAGGCAGCUACCUGGACUGAUACUGACACUGAGGCGCGAAAGCGUGGGGAGCAAACAGGAUUAGAAACCCUGGUAGUCC